rnacentral:rRNA from 1 species
AUAAUUUAAAGGGCCGCGGUAUUCUGACCGUGCAAAGGUAGCAUAAUCGUUAGUUUUUUAAUUGGAAUCUUGUAUGAAUGGUUGGACAAAAGAAAGUCUGUCUCUGUAUUAUUAGUUGAAUUUAACUUUUGAGUGAAAAGGCUUAAAUGAAUUAAAGGGACGAUAAGACCCUAUAAAGCAUUAUAUUGGGGCGAUAAUAGUAAAAAGAUUAACUGCUUAAUUUUUAAUACAAAUAUAAAUGAAAUGAUCCUAAUUAAAGAUUAAAAGUUUAAGUUACUUUAGGGAUAACAGCGUUAUUUUUUUUGAGAGUUCUUAUCGAAAAAAAAGUUUGCGACCUCGAUGUUGAAUCAAAAUAUCUAUAUAAUUGCAGAAGUUAUAUAAGAAGGUCUGUUCGACCUUUAAAUUUUU